rnacentral:lncRNA from 1 species
AAAUAAAUAAAAAGGCUCAACAAGCAGCCGCAAGCAAGCCAGGCAACGAGAGGCGCAACUGAGAUGAGGUGAAAACUUUAAGAGACCGUUAAAUAACCACAAUCAAUAAGCUGCAAUCCAUGCAUAAAUAUGUAUGCGUGGCAACUUGUGGCAGCACUUGCUACAGCAAGCGAUCAGGCGAAAUUAAGUUGGAGCGAUUAAGCGGUGAACUUGCAAAGGGGAGUGUGCCACAUGUUGAUUAGAGGAAUGUUUAGUUGACAUAAAAAGAUUUAGAAGUAGUAAGAAGACUUUCUUCGGCUGUUAACUCGAAGCCAAGCUCUAUCCAUGUAACUCAUUAUGCAUGCCUCAAAUUGGUAUAUAUUAAAGUAACAACAACGCCAUGCGGUAUGCGUCUGCGCCCUGCGGUGUCUUGCACUUGCCACAAAGGAUGCAUGCUGCGCAGCAGUUCACUCACUCGGCGACUGGUGUCAACGGAGGUGCGAGAAAUUGAACAAUACGCCGCUUUCAAAUCUGUUCGUUAUUAGCAUGUUAGCUCAUCGCUUAGGCGACAUGUUCGCCAGAAGUCGGCACACCAGGUGGCAGCCACAAAACAAUAUGCAACAUGCAUAAAGCAAACAAUAGCGGUAAAUGGGCAACAACUGCAGCCAACAAACAACAAUUGUGGCACAACAAGCGCUGAUAGCGUAGAAGCGCAAUUGAUGGUCAGCACCAAACAACGAAAUGCACUAACAAACCUAACAUCACGGAAUUCAAGCGAAUAAAAACUAAUAGCCACAAUAACCCAUUGUAAAACCAGAUUAGACCGGUUAUAAGUGCGAGCUAAUUUGCCCUGGAGGCCGCUGUAGCCUCACCGCGUAGAAUAAAUAAGAGAAUUCAGUGAUCGCGUCCCAACCAAAAUUUCUUCAAAACAACGAAUUUUUUGAAACUUUUUAAGUACCGAGCUUUAAUUCGUAUGGUUCGCGAACUGAUGUUAGA